rnacentral:rRNA from 1 species
UACGUAGGGUGCGAGCGUUGUCCGGAAUUAUUGGGCGUAAAGGGCUCGUAGGCGGUCUGUCACGUCGGGAGUGAAAACUCAGGGCUUAACCCUGAGCCUGCUUCCGAUACGGGCAGACUAGAGGUAUGCAGGGGAGAACGGAAUUCCUGGUGUAGCGGUGAAAUGCGCAGAUAUCAGGAGGAACACCGGUGGCGAAGGCGGUUCUCUGGGCAUUACCUGACGCUGAGGAGCGAAAGGGUGGGGAGCGAACAGG